CUACUCUGCGACUGUCGUUGCUAGUUCAACGAUCGGAUGUCGCAGUCCGAGGC
rnacentral:ncRNA from 1 species